GACGUAGAGCGCGAGCGUUGUCCGGAUUUAUUGGGCGUAAAGCGCACGUAGGCGGCUUUGCAAGUCCCAUGUGAAAUCCCACGGCUCAACCGUGGAAGUGCAUGGGAAACUGCAGAGCUUGAGUACUUAAGAGGAUCGCGGAAUUCCCGGUGUAGAGGUGAAAUUCGUAGAUAUUGGGAAGAACACCGGUGGCGAAGGCGGCGAGCUGGUCCAUUACUGACGCUGAGGCGCGACAGCGUGGGGAGCAAACAGG
rnacentral:rRNA from 1 species